GUGACUAGAGUCUGUAGCACCAAACAAAAAGAAAUUUCGCAAGGCUAUGAUUGGCCACAAAAUCCCGGCUUGCGAUUGGUUAGAAAGCUGACUGUGAUCAUAAGAUAUAACCUAGAAUUUAAAUUUUAGUUGACCGUUGUUUGUUGUUUUAAUGUCUGUGCAAUAUCCAAUAAAAAUAAACAAAAUAUAGAAGAAUAAUAAUAAUAUUAUGUAAUUGUAAUGAUUUAUAAUUUCCUAAAGAAAUAUAUGCUUUAGAAAGAUGUAACAUAUUUAAAGAGAAAAUGUAAAAUGAGAUGUAAAAUCUUGAGAAUCCAAGAGCUGCAUGUCUGAAAGCAAAAUAAAUGAAACUGAGGGCAUAGAUAGAUAACAUUUUACUGAAACACAAUGAAUAAAAUAUCACUGAAUAUGAGAAGAUAGUUCAUCAAAAGUUGGCGAUGUUUAAGAACAAUUUUGCUGCAUCCAACAAUCAUAAUCGCUGCUGUCAGUCAUACAAAGUAAACUGUGCGAAAGUUUAGUCCUAUCAAAAUUUAACUAUGGUGAUGUUGUGUAUGGGCCAUUCCACGUCUGCGCGUCUGCUCUAGACCAUCGCGACAACGAAUAUUUUAGUGUGCAACAUAAGAAGUACGAAAGUAAAUGGCUGUAAAAAUUAUUCCAAUAAAGAAGAAUGUAAUUUGCAAUUUAGUUUCGUACUUCUUAUGUUGCACACUAAAAUAUUCGUUGUCGCGAUGGUCUAGAACAGACGUAUAUUCGUGGAAUGGCCCAUAUGGACAUUGUAUUCGAUCAGAUGACAGAGGAAGAAUUCGGGGGGUUCAAAAGACACCAGCCUAUUUGUCACAAAUUUAAAACAUGUAAAAUGGUUGAGCGUGGAAAAGAGAAGAUUUCUACAUGCUGCUUGUCUGUUCCACAAAAUUAUCAAAAACUCACUACCAACAUAUCUUUUUAAAAAAGUUAUACAGUGAUGAGCGCCCUAAUAACCGGCAAAAUAACGCAAAGGUGGAAAAUAUUAAGUUGUGAGAUAAACAGAAAUGAAACUAGUGGAGGUGGUAGAUUUAGCGAUAAAAACUUAUAAGUUUACAUUUUACUUAUUGUUUCCCACCUUUAGACGUAUCAGAUGAGUAUUUCAACUAAAACUGUCACAGUGGCAGUUGCCAAACUCGUCCAAUACAUCUAAAGGUGGAAAACAAUAAAUAUAAUAUAAAUGUAUAGGUUUGUAUCGCUAAAUUUCCCACCUACACUAGUUUUAUUUCUUUUUAUCUCACAACUUAAUUUAUUAGCGCACUCAUCACUGUUUAUAGAACUGACAUAAGGGACACAGAGCAACAGUGGCCUAACUGCAAAAAACAAAGUUUUGAGAUAAAUGCAAUCUUUGCAUUCAUAUUUACAUUGUGCUUAUGGGAUGAUGCUACAAAUUAUGUAACGAUAUUUAGCCAAAUAUACAGGUAUGUUGUGUAGACCCUUGUUAAUUUGAAGAUUUAAUGUUGCUACUUUUAUUGAUGUAUUAAUCUAAAAAUGCUCAAUUUGUGCUUUUUUUCUCUUGCUUAAGAUGAAAAGUCUAGGUGCUGAUUUCUUGAAAUCGGUACCAACUGAUCUUCAGCAUUUUUUUUAGUAUUUUGUGCAUAGAGGUAUAUCGUCAUUGUCAGAGCCAAACCUCAUAUGUACAUUAUUGACAAAAUCCACUAUUUUUUUAUUUAUAAUUACAACACAUAAUACUGAUAUAAUCUUCUUAAUAUUAUUUCUAAAUUUAAAGAGUAUAGUACUUUUUAACACAUUUCGGCAAAAUGAUAUUAAUUCUGAUAAAGAUAAAAAAUAUAUAAGAGUUUUUUUCAUUUCCUGAAAAAUCUCACAACAUGCACAUAUGUACAAGAUUUGGCACUGAGGCCGACGGUAUAUGAUUAUAUUAUAUCAUGUUAUAUUUUGUGUAUUGUUUGAAUUUGAACAAAAAAUGCAGACCUUUAUUGUUAUUAUUAGAUGCAGAUAUUUCCUCUUGUAUAAUAUAGUAAGACAAAACAUUGAAUAUAAUAAGUGUUACCAAAUUAGUUCAAUUUCAAAUUUUUUUCCUAUGCAGGAACAAUGUUGUAAAUGCCAAAUCAGAUUUUGUCUACAACUUUUGAAAAACAUGCAAGUAGUAAUGAUUUGAAAAAAGCAACUUUAUGAGGAUAACAUGAUAGAUUUUAGGAUGCAUCAAGUAAAGUCUUAAUAUUCCCAAUGCUCGGCAGUACAUUAUUUUGCACAUAUAGAACUUUGUUCCUGGAAAACCAAAAUACAACUAUUGUGGUUACGCAAACAUUGUUCCAGCAUAGGAUUCAAUUAUUAUCAUAGAAGACACAAUUUUUUCAAGACAUGACUACUAUCUGAUGUAUCUCUUUUAAUUGGAAAAAUGCCAAAUGUAAUAUUCAGUCAAAUUCUUAGUGUUCCGCACACACAUACACACACUUUGUCUAGAUCUAGAGUGAUGCGUAGCUAUUUUUCCACUCUAUGAGUUAAAGAUUAAGGACAGGUUGUUCUUCCAACAUGUUUAUUCUUUUCUUGAACCAAACGAAUUAAGGUUUGUCAGGUUUGACAGCUAUCUUCCACUACAUAAACUUUAUUAAAUUAAAAGCUUCAUGUAGAUUUGUUGCAGUACAUCCUUCAUUUUGUAUAUUUGGCAGCUAUUACUGUAUUUCAUACAUACAGAAUUACAAUAAUCGUGGCAGUACUAGCUGUUCUCAUGUUUUGAAUAAAUAUUAUAAUUUCCAACUAAUAACAUAUUAAAAUAAUAUAAUAUGACCAGGGGUUUUCUGUAGCUUGUAGAUUAUAUGUGUAUUAGAGCACUAUUUUCCAUAGUUAAAAAUAUUAUUUUAUGUAUAAAUUUUAUGAAAUAAAAGCACAUACUUAUCUAAAAACAAAUUUAUUUUAUUUUACAAAAAGUACAUCUCAAGUAUAUUUUGAAAUAUUAUAUAGAAUGAGUAGAGAAUGAAAGAGUAUAUCUAUUGGAGAAUACACAGGAAUACUGAGAACAAAUAGAGAAGCAGGGAUCUAUAUAAAGAUGAUCAACUCUAGGAACUCGUUCACUAAACCCCUAACAAAACAGAAAAAAAACCUGAUAUACUUGAAAAUUAAGUCAGACUGGUGAUCAAACUCAAAUUUAACAAACCACCAGGUCCAACAAUUAAAAUACUUUGAAGAUGCUAUAAGACCAGAUACAGAAAACAUGGAAACACUCAUAAAGAAACGUAACUAGAAAGCAAUAGAAAAUUUUAAAGAUUUGUUUACGAAAACUAAAGAUUGGUUCCCACAUAAUAAAUUUGGCAAAUGUAACACUGUUUAUAGAAUAGAAUAUCUUUAUUAAUUCAUUUAGAUGAUAGUGUGCUUAGCGAAAACACCGUAUCUGCAGACAUCACAUGAGUAAAAUCAAUUUUUGUUAAAGUAUUCGUAUACAUUUACACAAGAUACGGCAUAAGAUGCGGUGUGUUUAAUGUGUUUUGGUUUAACUUACGUCAUUUUUAGUAAGCAAAUAAGACAUAUAUGCACAUUUGGGUUAGAAAGAAGUAAAAAUUUAAUUUUUGCAGAUACAGUGUUUUCUCUAAGCACUGCAGUAUAGGACAAGCCAUAUAUGUAGUUACAUAGAACAUAAUCAACAAGUCAUACAGGACAGUUAUAUAAAACAUAAUCAACAAACUAUAAAUUAAUAAAAAAAGAUAUGCAAUAUAGAGUGUCUCUGAACCCGUCGGUCCUCAUUCCUUGUAGUCUUUUAUUAAGUCAAAGUAAUCAUUUAGGUUGUAAACACAUAAUUCUAUCAAGCAUGAUUUUAAUUUAUUUUUGAAUAUUAUUUUCAUUUCUCAUAUCAAGUGGCAAACAAUUGUAAAAUUUAGAUCCUGUAAAAUCAG
rnacentral:lncRNA from 1 species